CCGUGUUAACUCAAAUAAAGCAUAAUCUUUCCAUCUUCCUCGCGAUUUCUUCUACCGUUGUGCGAUAACGAGUUUUUCACACUUUCAAUGGCGAGUCCAAGUGCUGUAUCUGAAGAUAGGAAAUCAGAUGACCUUGAAAUCGUCUCCGUCGGGGAUCUUUAUAGCGGCUCCUGUGCUAAGAAGUACUGGAGUUCAUCUAGGAGAAAAAAUCGUUUCCCUUAUCCUGUGGGCUAUAAAGUUGUUUGAGCUCACAAUGGGAGCACAUAUUAUAUGGAGAUUGAAGAAGGUGCUAAAGUACCUUUGUUUCUGGUAUGUUGCUGAUUCCCUUUAAAUCUUAUACAAGGUUGUGCAUACGCUUUUUUUUAGAAUAGAGCAGAGUCUUACUCUAUUGAUGCUGAUACUCCCGACACAAGUUUGGCAAGGAAUCAGCAAUAUUUAAUUAGAUUUUAAGUUUAUUUUAAAUGUUGCAAGAUCAUGUGUUGAGAAUCUCUUUUACUGAUCCUUUUUAUUACAAUUUAACAAGAAAUCGCUAUCGCAAGAUCAUGUGUUGAGAAUCUGAACAUAUGAUACAAAUCAUUAAUUUUAAUCCCCUUUACGGGGCUUUAUAGCCCACAAGAUAAGGGAAACGAUAUUUUUCCUGAUGAUUACUGGAGUAUUAAAAAGGAUCUCCACCUAUAAAAGGUAAGGGCCUCCACCAGUGAGAAUCAAUUUUCACAGUUCCAAUUUCAUUCAAUAUUUCUUUCUUGGUAUAAUCAUAAUGGCUAAGCAGUCUUUACUACUUGCUAAUUUGAAGGCCGGUUGCUGUUCUUCCACUGUAGAUGUGCAGUUGCUCAGAUUCUGGGAAGUUGAUGGGAGUUGUGGAUUCCUUUUCAGUCAAGUCUGUAAUGGAAUUUGUGUCCUCAUGUUAAACUGAUUGUCAUCUAUAGACUGUCAUAACUAUUUUUAUGAUCCGGUUCUUCAUGAUUCUAAAAAAAUUUAGCCUUUUAUAUCUACAUGUGCUUGAAUACGACGGUCUGGUACAUAACAUCGUUCUAGCUUUGUUCUCCCAAGUUAUCUCCUUAUAAAAUACUGAGCAAUUGAAUCUGACAGUAUUGUGAUCUUCUUUCUAGCUCCAACUCUGCUUUGAUUCUAUGGAAAAUCGUUUCAUGUGCAGCUCUUCGCACCAGCAAGAGAGGAAUGGCUGUGGCUACACAUGCCCCAAUCUAAGUCCCCUAAUCUGCUAUUCAGCCGAGCUACUCGCUGCGGAAGGCACCUCAGUCAUGAAAGGUGCGGUGUAACUACAGCUAUGGUUGCAAUAAAACGUCACACAUGAAACAAGCCAGAGUGAUCAAAAUUCCAAAGGCAUAAUACUUUGAAAUCCUGGAGUAAUCAUAAAGACUAUUGUGCUUUUGUUUGGUGUUUAUAGAAAAUAGAUGUCAUAUGCAACUGAUGCCAAUAUUAUAGUAUUUUAGAUCACUUAUAAUUAAUAAUAUUUAUUUGGUUUCUACUGCAGUCGAGCUCAUUGUAAUAAAACAAAUCUACUUUUGAAUUUUGAAAGGAUAAUUGUGAAUUAAAUGAGUUGCAACUAUUUAA